CAACACUCAAGCUCCGCUUGGUCUUGAGCCCAGCCGGUCACGGCGGGCCUUAAAAUCAGUGGCGGCGCCCCCUGGCUCUAAGCGUAGUAAUACCCCUCGCUACAGAGUCCCGGCGGACGCUGGCCAGCAACCCCAACUUACCAA
rnacentral:misc_RNA from 1 species